AUUGAACGCUGGCGGCAUGCUUUACACAUGCGAGUCGAGCGGCAGCGCGGGGGCAACCCUGGCGGCGAGCGGCGAACGGGUGAGUAAUGCAUCGGAACGUAUCCUCGAGUGGGGGAUAACCCAGCGAAAGUUGGGCUAAUACCGCAUGAGCUCUGAGGAGGAAAGCGGGGACCUGCGAGGGCCUCGCGCUGGAGGAGCGGCCGAUGUCCGAUUAGCUAGUUGGUGGGGUAAAGGCUUACCAAGGCGACGAUCGGUAGCUGGUCUGAGAGGAUGAUCAGCCACACUGGGACUGAGACACGGCCCAGACUCCUACGGGAGGCAGCAGUGGGGAAUUUUGGACAAUGGGGGCAACCCUGAUCCAGCCAUGCCGCGUGAGUGAAGAAGGCCUUCGGGUUGUAAAGCUCUUUCGGACGGAACGAAAUGGGCGGGACUAAUACUCCUGUCUGAUGACGGUACCGUAAGAAGAAGCACCGGCUAACUACGUG
rnacentral:rRNA from 1 species